rnacentral:misc_RNA from 1 species
ACUUAUAAUAAUAAUAAUAAUAAUAAUCUCCUCUUUCUCAUUCUCUUUCAUUCCCUUUUACUAUUUGUCUUUGGAAAGAACGAACAACCCAAAAUUCGAAUGCGGUUUUCCCUGUCAUCGUUAUUACUACUAUCAUUCUUCUCGUGCUCGUCGUGAUAGUUGUUAUUGUUGCUACUGCUACUGCUACUGCUGCUGCUGCUCUUUCUCUUGAUCGAUUCCCCGGCGAGGUUGCCGGGUGGGAAAAGUAAGCGUGCGUGCCGCAGACGACGUCUCGCGAAGAGAAACGAAGAAGUAAGAGGAGGAGAAGAAAGAGAGAAAGAGAGAAAAAAGAAAGAAAGAUAGAGAGGAAGAAAGAGAAACGGCCGGAACGCGACCGCUUGCUUGCUGACUUUUCUUCGCGCCGUCUAUAUAGUAGUGGUGGUAGUGGUGGUAGUGGUGGUGGUGGUGGUGGUGGUGCUCUGGUGGUGAUCUGGUGUUCUAGUGGUGGUGACUUUGCCGAAGGUGUAUUGGCUGAGAGAGAGAGCCGACAACAGGACACGAGUAAGCCGCCGACAAAAGAGGGCUGUUAUGGAGCGAGGUUGUCGUCUGCUUUUCCUGUUCCCGCCGCUACACCUGCUUACGAUAUUCGUUGCUCUCACUCUGACAAAUGCUUUCUCUACGGACAGUAAACCGGCUUGUCCAUUAAUACAAUUUCGCUGUGCGAACGGCAGAUGUAUACCUCCGACUUGGGUUUGCGACAAAACUGACGACUGUACGGAUAAUUCUGAUGAGGAUCCUGAAAAAUGCAAAGGUACAGAUAAUUGCAGCGAAAACGACUUCAAAUGUAACAGUGGCAGAUGCAUACCUGGGUUAUGGCAUUGCGACGGGGAAAAGGAUUGUGAUGAUGAAUCCGAUGAAGAUCCUAAUGUUUGCAGAUUGAAGAAUUGCACCGCGGAACAAUUUACUUGUCGUUCGGGAAAUGGCGAGUGCGUGGCAUUAACAUGGAUGUGCGACGAGAAUCCAGACUGUUCGGAUGGUUCGGACGAAGCUGAAUGCAAUGAUACUUGUCGAUCGGAUGAGUUUACCUGUGCAAAUAAGCAUUGCAUUCAACUCCAUUGGGUCUGUGAUCAUGAUGAUGAUUGCGGAGAUGGCAGUGAUGAAAAAUACUGUAGUCCAACUACCUGCAAUCCUGCAACAGAUUUUGCUUGUUCAGACAACUACUGUAUUACAGCAAAGUGGAGAUGCGAUGGUGAUUAUGAUUGUCCUAAUCAUUCUGAUGAGAUGGAUUGCAAGGGAAAAAAUCAGGGACAGAGGGCAAGCCAUUGCGAUAAGAGAGAAUUUGAUUGUGAUGAUGGUGUUACUUGCAUACAUCAAACAUGGGUAUGCGAUGGGGAUAAAGACUGUUCAAACGGUGCAGACGAAUCACCACUAAGAUGUCAUAACAUCACUUGUAGAGCUGAUCAAUUCCAAUGCGAAGAUCGACGUACCUGUAUACCAGGUCACUUGUACUGCAAUGGCAAAGCUGAAUGUUCAGAUGGAAGUGAUGAAAAGAAUUGUUCAAUAAAAGCUCCUGUAUGCGAUCCAAUGACACAAUUUGAAUGCAGUGAAGCUUCGUGUAUUCCUCUUAAAAGUGUGUGUGAUAAGAAAAUGGAUUGUAUCAAUUGGGAAGAUGAACGUGUUGAACUUUGCGGUGUAGAUGAAUGUGACAAAGAUAAUGGUGGAUGUUCACAAAUAUGUAUUGAUCUUCCCAUUGGCUAUCGUUGCGAUUGUAAACCAGGAUACAAAUUGAUCGACAAUCGAACCUGCGAUGAUAUCGAUGAAUGCUUAGAGCCAGGAAGUUGUUCACAAUUUUGUCAAAACGAAAAAGGAACAUUUAAAUGUAAUUGUGCUCUUGGUUACUUGAAAGAUCCUAAAAAUUUAACUCGUUGUAAGGCAGCAGAAGGACAUGCGAGUCUUCUUUUUACUAGAAGACAUGAUAUUAGAAAAGUAGCUUUGGAUCGUCAAGAAAUGACGGCGAUUGUCAAUAAUACAAAAAUGGCAACAGCUUUGGACUUUGUUUUUCGAACGGGAAUGAUAUUUUGGAGCGAUAUUACAGAAAGAAAAAUUUAUAAAGCACCGAUAGAUGAAGGAAAUGACCGUACAGUUGUAAUAGAAGAUGAUUUAACCACGUCAGAUGGAUUAGCAGUAGAUUGGAUAUAUAGUCAUAUAUAUUGGACUGAUUCUGGAAAAGAUACUAUAGAAUUAGCUAAUUUCGAAGGAAAUAUGAGAAAAACUCUCAUCAAAGAUCACAUACAAGAACCGCGAGCUAUCGCCUUAAAUCCCUUAGACGGUUGGAUGUUUUGGACUGAUUGGAGUGACGAAGCUCGUAUAGAAAGAGCUGGUAUGGAUGGUUCUCACCGUUCAAUUAUUGUUGGACAUGAUAUAAAAUGGCCAAAUGGAUUGACUCUAGAUCUAAUUGGUAAAAAAGUAUAUUGGGUAGAUGCUAAACUUAACUUUAUAGCAUCUUGUAAUUAUGACGGUUCAGGAAGAAGAACAGUUUUAUUUUCUCCUGCGAUGUUAAGACAUCCGUUCAGUAUUACAACAUUUGAAGAUUAUGUUUAUUGGACAGAUUGGGAUAAAGAAACGAUAUUUAAAGUUAACAAAUUUACUGGUAAAGAUGUAGAGUCUGUUACAUCAGUAAAAUCGCCUCAGCAACCAAUGGUGGUACAUGUGUAUCAUCCAUAUAGACAACCUGACGGAAUGAAUCAAUGUCAGUCUGUCAAUGGUCAUUGCAGUCAUUUGUGUUUGCCUGCACCUAAAAUUAAUUCUAGAUCACCGCUUCUAAGUUGUGCAUGUCCGGAUGGACUGAGGCUGUUACCUGAUGGAUUGAUGUGUGUAGAAAAUGUAACUACUACUGUAGCACCAACAACACAAGAAAAUGCUAAACUAUUUAAAAGGCUUGAACCGCUGAACAUUUCAACAACUGUUCAUCCAAUAACCUCGAUGGAUAGUGGAAAAAAUAAUUCUACAAGUGAAUCAACAGACCCUGGUCUAGUUGCUGGUGUUGUCAUAGGCGUGGUAUCAUUAGGCCUAUUAGUACUUGCAUUAGUGGCAGUAUUGUGCUAUAGGCAUUAUCUUCAUCGUAAUGUUACAAGUAUGAACUUCGACAACCCUGUAUAUAGAAAAACUACCGAAGAUCAGUUUAGUCUCGAAAAGAACAGAUUUCCCCUUCCUGCUGCUACAGUUGGAGAGGAGGCUCAGGAACCAUUAACGAGUCCUGGAACUAAUGACUACGUUUAAGGCUUAAUUUGUCAAUGAAAUGAGAUUAGCAGACUUGAAAAAGCAGUGAUCAUAUGAUGUCCACCGUUAAAAUAACCAAGGCGACACAAUUUAUCAAGUAACUUUCUGUCAUCCGAUGGAAUGUCAUAACUUUCCGACGGAUAAUUAAAAAAUAUAUCUUUUUUAUGUAAAGUA